CAGAAUAAUGAAAGAAACCAAUUGUGUUGAAAUUGUCACCAAAAUAUAUUUUUAAUAUUUCAGAAAAUUCAGAGAAUGAGCCUCGCGGUGACCCUGGGAAUGUUGUGGACGGUGCAGACAGUUUCUAGCUGUGUGACUCUGGGCAAGUCACUUAAUCUCUGUUGUCUAGUCCUUGCUGCUCUUCUCUGUCGUAGAAUUGGUACUAAAACAGAAGGAACCAAUUAAGUCUUUACUUCAGCUCAGCCUUCUAGACCUCUUAAGAGAUGGAAGAAAGGAGUAUAUGGAAUAUCUUAUCUUAGGAACAGAGGAUCAAUUUUGUGGAUUCAAGAAUGUAUGAAGGAGAAGCAUUUUAAAUACUCUAGACUGAAAAGGUAGGUUACACAUCCAUAACCAAUAUCAUAUUACUUGCUUUCUUAUGGAGAAGUGGGAG
rnacentral:lncRNA from 1 species